AUUGAACGCUGGCGGCAUGCCUUACACAUGCAAGUCGAACGGCAGCAUGGAGAGCUUGCUCUCUGAUGGCGAGUGGCGAACGGGUGAGUAAUGCAUCGGAACGUACCGUGUAAUGGGGGAUAACGUAGCGAAAGUUACGCUAAUACCGCAUACGCCCUGAGGGUGAAAGCAGGGGAUCGCAAGACCUUGCGUUAUACGAGCGGCCGAUGUCAGAUUAGCUAGGUGGUGGGGUAAAGGCUCUCCAAGGCGACGAUCUGUAGCGGGUCUGAGAGGAUGAUCCGCCACACUGGGACUGAGACACGGCCCAGACUCCUACGGGAGGCAGCAGUGGGGAAUUUUGGACAAUGGGGGCAACCCUGAUCCAGCCAUGCCGCGUGAGUGAAGAAGGCCUUCGGGUUGUAAAGCUCUUUCGGCCGGGAAGAAAUCGCACAGGCUAAUACUCUGUGUGGAUGACGGUACCGGCAUAAGAAGCACCGGCUAACUACGUGCCAGCCGCCGCAGUAA
rnacentral:rRNA from 1 species